UACGGGGGGGGCAAGCGUUGUUCGGAAUUACUGGGCGUAAAGGGCUCGUAGGCGGCCAACUAGGCGGACGGGAAAUCCCCAGGCUCAACCUGGGAACUGCGUCCGAUACUGGAUGGCUUGGAUCCGGGAGAGGGAUGCAGAAUUCCAGGUGUAGCGGUGAAAUGCGUAGAUAUCUGGAGGAAUACCGGUGGCGAAGGCGGCAUCCUGGACCGGCAUUGACGCUGAGGAGCGAAAGCCAGGGGAGCAAACGGG
rnacentral:rRNA from 1 species